CACAGCAACACACCAAACAGUUCGAGAGUUAACCAAGCAUUAAAAAGGCAAUUUCCAAACCUUUUUAAUAAGUCAGAGGCCAAGAGAGGCAAAGGCAGGAUCAACAGCCCUGGCCAUCCCAUAAAAUACACAAACCUUGCCAUAUUUGUCCUGCCGGGCCCCACCAAUGUCACCCCUAGAGGUUCCGAAGAGCUCACCUUAGCCCAUGCGGGAUUAGGAAAAAGAGUGUUGGCUGUUUCAGAUCAAAGCAGACAUGAACAGAUUGUCAGACAGAUGGAGGAGGAGUUUUUGAAACUCAAACCACUUAAUGGAAGAU